AGGUGAUUCUCAGAAUUUCUUGCUUGAAAUAAGCUUUCAAGCAGCAUGUGUGUAUUAGCCAGGCUGACUGAAGACAGAGGUAGUAUGAGAACUGGGAGGCCUUUUAAAGAGUAUUUUCAAUAUAUAAAGAUUCAUGUGAUGGGACUCUGGAAACAAGACAUUAGACAAAUCAAAAAUUAAGUCCAAUGGGCAUAAUUUUAAAACAUUUUUACAUGGCUCAGUAGAAUCUGUUCAGUUUUCUUUCUCAGGAGUGCCAUGAACUUCUGUUUUUCCUGUUUCUUCUUGGCUCACUAUUUGUAUUCUGAUAUAACUUUGGACAGAAAAAGAUUGCCUCUUGGAGAGUUCAGUUACAUGCACUGUUCAAGUGAUUCUGACAAGGAUGAGUGGUAAUAAAAAUUGUCCAUCCUUUGAACAUGAUUUGGAUUACACUGCGGAAAUUACAUGUCAAUAUUGGGUAGAGCUGUAUGGGGGAUAUACACAAGAAAUAUGUGGACAUGAUUUGUCAGUCCCCUCUUGACACCACUCACUCUACAUGCCUGUUCUUUAUUUAUAGGCAAGAAGCAUGCUGACAUUUCAAUAUUCCUUCAGCUCAACAGUUCAGUCACAGCAAGAAAAACAACAUGUGUAGCCAUGAAUAGCCCGAGAGUCAUUUCACUGGAUCUUCCAAGAAUUUAACUGAAAGGUGAGGCUUUGUGACACAGCCAUGCAGCAUAUCUGUGGCAGCACUGCUCCACUGAGGAACUUGGGUAUCCUAAGUGUAUCCAGCUUAGAUCAUGUACAGAGCAUGCUGAUCUUGCAUUGAAGUUUGUGCGGUGAGAUCCUUUGGCUUCCAUGCAAUCCACCCAUCCGAGGCAUGAAGCUUCUGAGAACACAUACCUGUAGUGAAAGGUUUGAUUUGUUCAUUCACAGUCCUGCUGUACAUCCAGUUUUUUGCCUGGCCUUAUGUCCUUUUAUACUAUAAAGUCUUAUGUCCUUCAAAGUGGAACCACUUGAACACUAAACUUUCCAGUCAAAAAAACCAUCUGUUAAGGAUCAAUGAUUGUAAAGUCAAGCACAUUGGCAAGCAUGUUUCACAACAUGUGAAACAUUAAGAAAUGCAUAGACAAUCAUUUGCGUGAUAUAUUUUUCAGUUUUGUGCUCACAUACGUUUUUUUCAACCUGCACGAUCUGCUUUAUUCACUAUACAGACCAGAGGGUGCUUAGUGAGUCAGCACAGAUAUUGCUUAACAUUAGGAUUACUCAAUGUUUUGUUGUAUCUUUCUGGUCUAAUUUGUGGCCACAUGCUGAUUUACUACCCCUUAUUCACCUGCUCUGAAGCUGAAUCUGAAUUUAACUUCCUUAUAUGCUUUUUUAGUGGUGCCUAAUAUAGAGUCAUCUGUAAAAGCAUUUAGGACUUGGCUUUAGAGUAACUGUAUGAUGUGAGGAAGCAAUAUAAUUUCAAUUUCAGAUAUGAGCAAUUGAGGCCCAGAAAAUAAAUACAUGAAGAUCAAAGCUAAAA